AGAAUCUUGCUAUAAUGAACUUAGUAGAAAAGUGAAGAUGGUGGCUAUCAACAUAAAGGCGGUGAUGCUUAUGAAAAAUAAGAUAAUCCCUUUGGAAAGGUUCAGCAUUGUCAGUUGCAGAAGCAAUUGCGCUCAUGAUUGGUUUUGGAAGCUUUACGGUUUCCUUAAUCGGUUUAGU
rnacentral:sRNA from 1 species